rnacentral:tRNA from 1 species
GCGCGAGUGGUGAAAUGGUAUACACGCUAGAUUCAGGUUCUAGUGGCCGCAAGGUCGUGGAGGUUCGAGCCCUCUCUCGCGCACCA